UACGGGGGGAGCAAGCGUUGUUCGGAUUUACUGGGCGUAAAGAGCGUGUAGGCGGGAUGGUCAGUCAGCGGUGAAAUCUUUCGGCUUAACUGAAAGUCUGCAACUGAUACUGCCAUUCUUGAGUUCAGAAGAGGGAAGUGGAAUUCCUGGUGUAGCGGUGAAAUGUGUAGAUAUCAGGAAGAACACCAGUAGCGAAGGCGGCUUCCUGGUCUGAUACUGACGCUGAGACGCGAAAGCGUGGGGAGCAAACAGGAUUAGAUACCCCAGUA
rnacentral:rRNA from 1 species